rnacentral:lncRNA from 1 species
AUGAUCUCCAGAGGUCCCUUCCAACCUCAACCAUUCUGUGAUUCUUUUCAGUCUGGUGAUUUUUUGAUCAUCUGCUAUCUCAGAUCCCUGCAAGACACCACUGUUUAUCAAGAUCAAGUUUUGCUACCAUCUCUUUCUGAUUCUCACUGCAUGUACCCCACAGGAGAGAGAACCUCAGCGUCUGAUGCUGUGCUGUCCAAAGACUUCAAGAUAUUUAAGAGCUUUAUUCCUGAAAGUACUGUGCAUCUGAAACUCCCUUCAGAAGUUCCUAGGCUACAUCCACAGAGACGAGCUGUAGCUAACAGCGAGAAAGAAAUGUGCAUCUGCACUGCCUUCCUAAUACUGGAUACUUCCUAA